UACAGAGGUCCCAAGCGUUGUUCGGAAUUACUGGGCGUAAAGGGCUCGUAGGCGGCCAACUAAGUCAGACGUGAAAUCCCUCGGCUUAACCGGGGAACUGCAUCUGAUACUGGAUGGCUUGAGAUUGGGAGAGGGAUGCGGAAUUCCAGGUGUAGCGGUGAAAUGCGUAGAUAUCUGGAGGAACACCGGUGGCGAAGGCGGCAUCCUGGACCAACACUGACGCUGAGGAGCGAAAGCCAGGGGAGCAAACGGG
rnacentral:rRNA from 1 species